GCUGCAGCCAAUCCCUCAAUUUGUUACCGUUUUCUCAUUGGUCUAGUCAAGCUGUUAAGCCCCGCCUCCUUUGUUAACCCCUCCCCCAAACUCCCGCUCACCAAGCUCUGACGUCCGUGCAGUGAUUGUAGGUUGAUGGUUGUUUUUUUGAAGAAUUUUGUGUUUGGUAGUUGUGGCACUUGAAUGAGUUGUAGUUUGGUCACGUAAUAAAGUGUUUGAUGUUUGAA